rnacentral:rRNA from 1 species
AGCGAACGCUGGCGGCAGGCUUAACACAUGCAAGUCGAGCGGGCAUCUUCGGAUGUCAGCGGCAGACGGGUGAGUAACACGUGGGAACGUACCCUUCGGUUCGGAACAACUCUGGGAAACUGGAGCUAAUACCGGAUACGCCCUUAUGGGGAAAGGUUUACUGCCGCAGGAUCGGCCCGCGUCUGAUUAGCUAGUUGGUGGGGUAACGGCCUACCAAGGCGACGAUCAGUAGCUGGUCUGAGAGGAUGAUCAGCCACACUGGGACUGAGACACGGCCCAGACUCCUACGGGAGGCAGCAGUGGGGAAUAUUGGACAAUGGGCGCAAGCCUGAUCCAGCCAUGCCGCGUGAGUGAUGAAGGCCUUAGGGUUGUAAAGCUCUUUUGUCCGGGACGAUAAUGACGGUACCGGAAGAAUAAGCCCCGGCUAACUUCGUG